CUUAAGCACACUGACUAGAAACAUCCAGACCCACUCCUAGCAGAGAGGAUGUGAAUUGGCUGGGUGUUUCAACAGCUGGAGAAAGGGCCUUCUUGAGGGGUGGGGCUUCAGGGGGAAAGCACCCACCUGGAACCUUGGGGAGGAGAGGUCCAGGCGGGAGCUAGAGCAGAGUCCCCGCGGACAUGUUCAGGGCCUGUGACUCCAAGGCCUGUCCCACCAGGCCAGUUCUCAUGGCCCUGCCCAGAGUUCUCCUCUGAGCUUGGGUGUCUGCUGGGAGCGGCAGGAAUCUCUCACAGGCCUGCCUCGUGGUCCAGAUAUGUCAGCCUGCCUUCCUCCCUCUGCUCUCUCUCCCUCCUUCCCUCCUUUCCCUCCUUCCUUUCCUUCCCUCCUCCCUCCCUCCCUUCUUUCUUCCCUCUCUCCUUCCCUUUCUCCCUCCCUCCCUGCCUCCUUCCUUCCUUUCUUCCUUCCCUCCCUCCUUCCCCUCCUUCUCCUUUGCUUAUGGACCAGCUGUGUUUCCAAAACUGGGCCAAAACUGUGUACUUUCUCAAUGUAACCUCAUUCAACCCUGUUAUUUUAAAGAUGAAGAACUAGAGUUUUCAGAGAGCAGAAGCAACAACCCCAAGACCAUUGUGGAUGAGGGAGCUGACUUUCAGCCCAGGCCAUUUGGAGGAGGAGGAGGAGCCACUUACCUUCAGAUGAAUCACCAGGCCACACACCUGCAGACCUACAUGCUCACUUCUUCCCACGCUUUCUGCCUCCGUUACCUUCCAUUCUCCCUGUGAACUUCUACUUAUCCUUCAGAACCCUUUUCAAAUGGUCCUUUCUUUGUUUCUUCAAGCACCCAAGCUUAGGAACAUUCCACAUUUCCACCCUGAGUGUGGAGGGAGGAGGUGGGCACGGGAUGUGGACCUCCUGGGGCUCCCGCUCCACCUGCUCCCCAACCAGGACCCCAGGGCUGGCUCCUACAGAGGAAGAGGAGGAGGAGGAGGAGGAGGAGCCGCCAGGCACGGGCAAUCCGCGUCUGCAGUGGCUUCUGUCACCUGUGCCCGAUGAGGAAACUGAGGUUAUGUGUGGCCACCCAGCGGAAGAAAGACAGAAUGAGGACGGGGUUCCAGGCUGCCUGCCUCUUUCUUCUAGCCAGUACUGGCAGAGACUGUACCCAGCUUCCACUAGGCCCAGGACACUGGGAUGUCAGGGCUCCUCCCCCCUUUGUCCUGCUCUGACCUCGUGGGAUAAGCCUUUGAAGGCUCUGUUCACACUCUGAGCUGGGAGCCCUGUCACCCUGUUGGCAUUAGCAGCUGUGCUCUGCCAAGAGGGAGGGGAAACCUUUCCACAGCCUACAGUUCUUUUGUGCCAAGGCCGGGCCGGAGUGAUACGAGUGUGGAGGAAUUCAGAGCAUAUGGAUCCAAUUUCUCUUGGAAUAUACAGCGAAUGGUGCUGGACAGAGGCGGGCUGCCUGCGGGACUGAGGAUGGUAGGCAAUUGCUUCCACCAUGUUUGACAGCUCCAGGACUCUGUUUCAUGCACUGGCGGCACUGGGCAGUGGCAGUCUAUCCAGGAGUGAGCAACAGAUGCCAUCCGUGGCUGUUCCCUGAGUGUGCCAAUGAAAUGUGGACGGGGACCUCAGCCAGGCUGGGUGAGGUGCUGAGCAGGGCUGUCCAUAUACAAAGAUCCUUCCAGGAGACACAGCAUCACAUAGCAUCGGGAGUGAAGCCUGUUUUAAAAAUUAUUAUACUUUUAAAUUGUCCUGCUGGGUUUGCUGAGUGAAUUCUUGAUCUUGACUUUGUUGAACCUUGAGGGUCUAAUCUGUCAAGUGACCCAGCAGAUCUGGAGUGGUUGUGCAGAGUCCCAAACAGUCCUUUCGGCUGUAGUUACCAGGACCCCCUGCUCUUUCCUUCUAGGCUUCACUUUUAUCUCCUCUCAGUGU
ensembl:lincRNA